UCAAGUAAGAUUAAUUCCUCAACAAGAUGUUGUGUUUGGACGUGAAAAAUAGUAUGUAAUGUUAUAAAAGAUAUACAAGAUUUUUCGAUGCAGAAUAUCUUGAAACUACUAGUAUCAAUUAAAUAGUUGAUGACUUUACAAAAAUGAAGGAUUGAUUCAACUUCCUACAUAGAAUCAGACAUCGAUUAAGACUGUAUUUCCUAAGUCAUCUUAAGACACAGGUUUUCCGUGCAAAACUUCGUCACCACAUCGAGUGUUGUUAGCCUGUUUUGUACAUACUAAUUUGACUACAGAUUACUCCAUUUAUCUAACCAAGUCAUGGGACUCACUGAAGGUGUCACCAGUCGACAGGGGAUGUGUACUCCUCAUUUCACCUCUGGUAUGCCCAGGGGUCCGCCAAUACAAAGUUCCAGGAAUUGAUUUCUCCCGCAUGUAAAAAUAAAAAAAUUAAUUUGAACAUUUGAAAGACAGUCUCCAUGAUCGACACGUGACAGUUAAUGACGUAUAUUUACAUUCACUGUGUGUUUCUGCUUCAUGUCUAAUGAAAUCCAUUUUUUUUUGGUCAUUUGCAACUAUGAAGACACAUUCUGUUUCAAUCUAGUUAAAUCCGGAUCUUUAGCGUCGUCUGUCCGCUUGUGAAUAUAUGUAUUCCACGUACUCCGUGACUUAUUUCGCCGCAUUGUUAGUAUUGUUAAAAAUAUAGACCCCCCUUUCUUCUUAAUUGGGAUAAUAAAUAGCGCUAAACUACAUGUAUAUUAUACGAUGACUUGUUUUAGAUUAGAUUGUGUCCAUCUUGGACUAUUUCCCCUUACCAUCGUUCAAACACGGAAAUCGUUACCAAAUAUGGAGAUAAGUCAAAAUCAUGUGAUUUUCAGCUGUUAUGUUUCAUUAACUUAUUGAUAUUUUACGCACUUUAAGGUAUUUAUAAUUAGAUAGGUAUUUCUUAGCGGUUUUUCUAUUCUUACAAGUGACUACGCUUGGUGUUUUAGAGAUUAUUCGGGAAACAUGAAAUGACGAUUUGACACGUGUUUGACUCGUUCUUGUUGUAUGAAUUCUGGGAUUUGCCGGGUGUAUGCUCAUUGUAACAGAUUACACGGAGUUGUCACGGGGAUGGUCCUUUGAUUUAUGUUUGGCAGCAUCAGUUUAUACUUUGAUUGAGGUAAUUGUUAAAAUUUCUGUAAUGAACCUGAAUAACGAGAAAGGUGGUUGUAUUGAAUAUUACGUUUAGCGUUAUCUGUAAAUCACGCAGUAACACGAUUGAACAACAUACACACAAGAUAAAUUUACGUUAGUUCGCGAUUGAGUAAGAUUAGACAUUGUUUUCAUGAUUGAUUUUAAUAUUUCUUUAUUAUUUUUGCUUAUUCUACCAAUAUGUUACACCAUGAUAGUAAAUUUAAGAGAGAGAGAGGGGGGGGGAGAGAGAGAGAGAGAGAGAGAGAGAGAGAGAGAGAGAGAGAGAGAGAGAGAGAGAGAUCACCGCACUUACCGGCCUUAGAUUGUGAUCAAGUGAAGUUCGUUGCAUUGUUUAAGAAGAAUAUUCAUAUAGGUGAACGAUAUAUCAUCUCUUAUUCCAGACUUUGAUAAAUAGUGACUGUGACCAGACUCAAUGACGGUUAGAUCCUGUUUGUGUGUAUGCUAUAUAUGGUUGUGUAUGUAAGCCAUGUUGUCACUAAGAUACACUAUAUACCAACACAAUAAAUUGAUCAAUAUGAAAUGAGUUUAACAGGAUCUUUGUGUUCAUCGAAAAAGAUAAGAUAAACCAUACAUAUUCUAACACCUAUGGAGAGGUUUAUAUCGGCAUUAUACCUGCUGUCUAAUCUUAUGUACAUAUUUUCUAUAUAUAUAUACAUGAAUGAAAUACUAUUCAUAUAUAAUAUCUCAC